GCGGCCCCAUGGGAUUCAAAUCAAAGAUAGGAUGCCUGAGGGGUUUCGAAAUAAAUAAAGCUUAAAUUCAAAUUUGGACUUGUUUUGGCACGCUAGCAUGGUUUCUCAAAUGGAGAUAGGACUUGGGCUUGGCGAGCAAUGCGGGGAGGCAGCUGUACAUGAAGAUUGGAUCUCGACUGGAUCGCUAACCUAGACAAAAGAGAGGGGUAUUAAAAUUAAGAAGAAGAAG
rnacentral:lncRNA from 1 species